rnacentral:rRNA from 1 species
UACAGAGGGUGCAAGCGUUAAUCGGAAUUACUGGGCGUAAAGCGCGCGUAGGUGGUUUGUUAAGUUGGAUGUGAAAGCCCCGGGCUCAACCUGGGAACUGCAUCCAAAACUGGCAAGCUAGAGUACGGUAGGGGGUGGUGGAAUUUCCUGUGUAGCGGUGAAAUGCGUAGAUAUAGGAAGGAACACCAGUGGCGAAGGCGACCACCUGGACUGACACUGAGGUGCGAAAGCGUGGGGAGCAAACAGGAUUAGAUACCCCCGUAGUCC